rnacentral:rRNA from 1 species
GAUGAACGCUGGCGGCGUGCCUAACACAUGCAAGUCGAGCGGCAGCGAGGGGUGCUUGCACCCUGUCGGCGAGCGGCGGACGGCUGAGUAACGCGUGGGAACGUGCCCCAAAGUGAGGAAUAACUGCCCGAAAGGGUAGCUAAUACCGCAUAUUAUCUUCGGAUCAAAGGAUUUAUCCGCUUCGGGAGCGGCUCGCGUCGGAUUAGGUAGUUGGUGAGGUAAUGGCUCACCAAGCCGACGAUCCGUAGCUGGUCUGAGAGGAUGACCAGCCAGACUGGAACUGAGACACGGUCCAGACUCCUACGGGAGGCAGCAGUGAGGAAUCUUCCACAAUGGGCGAAAGCCUGAUGGAGCAACGCCGCGUGCAGGACGAAGGCCUUCGGGUUGUAAACUGCUUUUAUAAGUGAGGAAUAUGACGGUAACUUAUGAAUAAGGAUCGGCUAACUACGUG